AAAGAAAAACUGUUGAACUCCAGGUCCUAGGGGUUCUCAAGGUCCCUGGCUUGUCGGAGACAGUAGAAAACGUGGAGGGAAGGCAAGCUGCUCCAGGAGGCUUUGCAAAAGGUAACCGACCCUGACUCCAUCAAGGGCUCCAGUGACUGCAGCUAGGUUUGAAACUACCCACCUACGUGAGCCUGAAGGACAGUAACUGCCUUAGGAUACUUACAGAGCAGCUGUGCUUUUGAAGAGCUCCGGACUGAAGAGACACCCCUGGGGACAGAGGACUGAGUGAGUCCUGGUGUCCCUGGCUUGCGGCCCCAAGGCUCAGCAGGAAGUAAGCCUCAUGAGCACAGCCUGGGUGAACUAGAACCCAAGUGGCCUGGCACUGCAGUUCUGUGCUGCCAGGCUUCCAGAACUCUUCAACUCACUGUGGUUCUCUGGUAAGACCCCAGUCCUAAUCCAUCCCCAAGGCCAGCUUCCCAAGGGAAAACAUGUGUACCAUAGAUUUGUCAUCAGAAUUUUUAGGGUGGAAACCUGGGUUCUCGCAGGCACAACAAACUAGGUUUAACCAUUGUCUGUACUACACCAAUUAAAUACACAGUUAUAGCAAAAAGCAGAGAAAGGAGAUUUAUUCAAUAUGGUAACUUUGGGAAGAAGAAAUAAAGGGGCUCAGGGAUCCUGCAAGUCCUUCUUCAGGGUGUUGACAGGAGGAUUAGUUUUCUGUAGAAGGAAGGUGUGCAUGAUUGAGCAAUCCUGGUCAUGGGGCAGUCCCGUCCGUCAUUGAUUGUGUCUCUGCUCCUUUCUGUUCUGUAAGGUGGUCUGAUAACUCAUGUGAAAUCUCUGCCUGAGAAGCAAGUUCCUCCUUUGCAAAGGUUUCUUCCCCCCACCCAAGCUUCAGCUUUGCCCUUCUCCCAGCACAGUAUCCCUGGGGAAAUUUUAAUUCUUUCUGGUUGAUUUUUUCAAUAGUCUGAUAGCCAAAGGGAAAGACAUAAGCAUCUCUUUUUAAAACAUAUUCUCUCUGGGCUAGGGAGUGUAGGUCAGCUGGUAGAGAGCUUGCUUUGAUUCUCAGCACCCAUAAAACUGGGCAUGGAGCCCAGACCUGUAACCCCAGCAUAUGGAAGGUGGAGGCAGAAGGUUCAGAAGUUCAAGGUAAGUUUGAGACUAGUUGAUCUAUGUGAGACCUGGCCUCAAAAAUAAAGUUGAAUAUAUGAGUGUAGUCUCCCUCUCUCCUGUGUCCCUUCUUUCCUCUAUCCCUCCCAGAAAAAAAAAACAUCAUUUCUCCUACCAAGAGAGAUUACAGAUGCAGUCUCUGUGAGUUCAGAGCAGGCC